rnacentral:rRNA from 1 species
CCUACGGGAGGCAGCAGUGGGGAAUAUUGGGCAAUGGGCGCAAGCCUGACCCAGCAACGCCGCGUGAAGGAAGAAGGCUUUCGGGUUGUAAACUUCUUUUGUCAGGGACGAAGCUAGUGAUGGUACCUGACUAAUAAGCCACGGCUAACUUCUUGCCAGCCGCCCCGUUAAUACGUAGGUGGCAAGCGUUAUCCGUAUUUACUGGGUGUAAAGGGCGUGUAGGCGGGACUGCAAGUCCGAUGUGAAAACCACGGGCUCAAACUGUGGCCUGCAUUUGAAACUGUAGUGCUUGAGUACUGGAGAGGCAGACGGAAUUCCUAGUGUAGCGGUGAAAGGCGUAGAGAUUAGGAGGAACACCAGUGGCGAAGGCGGUCUGCUGGACAGCAACUGACGCUGAGGCGCGAAAGCGUGGGGAGCAAACAGGAUUAGAUACCCGUGUAGUC